rnacentral:rRNA from 1 species
AGUGAACGCUGGCGGUAGGCCUAACACAUGCCAGUCGAACGGCAGCACAGUAAGAGCUUGCUCUUACGGGUGGCGAGUGGCGGACGGGUGAGGAAUACAUCGGAAUCUACUUUUUCGUGGGGGAUAACGUAGGGAAACUUACGCUAAUACCGCAUACGACCUACGGGUGAAAGCAGGGGAUCUUCGGACCUUGCGCGAUUGAAUGAGCCGAUGUCGGAUUAGCUAGUUGGCGGGGUAAAGGCCCACCAAGGCGACGAUCCGUAGCUGGUCUGAGAGGAUGAUCAGCCACACUGGAACUCAGACACGGUCCAGACUCCUACGGGAGGCAGCAGUGGGGAAUAUUGGACAAUGGGCGCAAGCCUGAUCCAGCCAUACCGCGUGGGUGAAGAAGGCCUUCGGGUUGUAAAGCCCUUUUGUUGGGAAAGAAAAGCAGCAGGUUAAUACCCCGCUGUUCUGACGGUACCCAAAGAAUAAGCACCGGCUAACUUCGUG